UACAGAGGUCCCAAGCGUUGUUCGGAUUCAUUGGGCGUAAAGGGUGUGUAGGUGGCGCCGUAAGUCGGGUGUGAAAUUUCGGAGCUUAACUCCGAAACUGCCUUUGAUACUGGCGACCUUGAGGCUGGAAGAGGUUAGUGGAAUUCCCAGUGUAGAGGUGAAAUUCGUAGAUAUUGGGAAGAACACCCGUGGCGAAGGCGGCUCUCUGGGACGGUACUGACGCUGAGACGGCGAAAGCGUGGGGAGGCGAACGAGG
rnacentral:rRNA from 1 species